UACAGAGGGGGGCAAGCGUUGUUCGGAAUUACUGGGCGUAAAGGGCGCGUAGGCGGCCUGUUAAGUCGAACGUGAAAUCCCCGGGCUCAACCCGGGAACUGCGUCCGAUACUGGCAGGCUUGAAUCCGGGAGAGGGAUGCGGAAUUCCAGGUGUAGCGGUGAAAUGCGUAGAUAUCUGGAGGAACACCGGUGGCGAAGGCGGCAUCCUGGACCGGCAUUGACGCUGAGGCGCGAAAGCCAGGGGAGCGAACGGG
rnacentral:rRNA from 1 species